UACGUAGGUGGCAAGCGUUGUCCGGAAUUAUUGGGCGUAAAGAGGGAGCAGGCGGUUAAUUAAGUCUGUGGUGAAAGCCUGAAGCUUAACUUCAGCGAGCCAUGGAAACUGAUUAACUAGAGUGCAGAAGAGGAUUGCGGAAUUCCAUGUGUAGCGGUGAAAUGCGUAGAUAUAUGGAGGAACACCAGUGGCGAAGGCGGCAAUCUGGUCUGUAACUGACGUUCAGUCCCGAAAGCGUGGGGAGCAAAUAGG
rnacentral:rRNA from 1 species